rnacentral:rRNA from 1 species
UACGGGGGGGGCAAGCGUUGUUCGGAAUUACUGGGCGUAAAGGGCUCGUAGGCGGCCAACUAAGUCAGACGUGAAAUCCCUCGGCUUAACCGGGGAACUGCGUCUGAUACUGGAUGGCUUGAGUGUGGGAGAGGGAUGCGGAAUUCCAGGUGUAGCGGUGAAAUGCGUAGAUAUCUGGAGGAACACCGGUGGCGAAGGCGGCAUCCUGGACCAUGACUGACACUGAAAAGCGAAAGCCAGGGGAGCAAACGGG